CAGCAGCCGCCGCGGUAAUACAGAGGGUGCGAGCGUUAAUCGGAUUUACUGGGCGUAAAGCGUGCGUAGGCGGCUUCUUAAGUCGGAUGUGAAAUCCCUGAGCUUAACUUAGGAAUUGCAUUCGAUACUGGGAAGCUAGAGUAUGGGAGAGGAUGGUAGAAUUCCAGGUGUAGCGGUGAAAUGCGUAGAGAUCUGGAGGAAUACCGAUGGCGAAGGCAGCCAUCUGGCCUAAUACUGACGCUGAGGUACGAAAGCAUGGGGAGCAAACAGGAUUAGAUACCCCCGUAGUCCCUGUCUCUUAUAA
rnacentral:rRNA from 1 species